rnacentral:lncRNA from 1 species
GCCCACGGACUCUCCGGCCCCGGGGGAGGAGCCGAUGGCCGCUAGACCCGGGAGGCCACAGGCGGCCCUGGGCGGUUCACUCCGCCGCCCCCUGGCUGCGGCAGCCGAGGGUCCCCGGGUCCCCGAGGCCCGGUCGGGGCGGAAGGAGCCUUGGAAGUUUCUGACCUAUAAACAUGGGGCGCUGCCCCUCCGGAUUCCACGAGCGCGGGGGCGGCGGUGGGGGCUGAGCUUUUAGAGCCAGCCUGGGGGGUUUCAAAUGCGUCCCGUCGCCGUGGCAUGUCCCACUUUUCAGGGAAAUCCUGACAGUUUGGGGCCAGCUCCUCCUGCCUCAGGAUAUAAAUCACCAAGAAUAAAAGACCAAACUCAAGCUGGCCGCCUUCUCCCACGAAGGGACCCCGGCCUCCAGAGCCUGGGGAGGGGCCGAGCCAGCGGCCUCUCCUCGCAGGAGGAUCUGACAGAUGGGAUUUUUUUUUUUCUGGGUCCCUCUUCCUCUCCGGGGAGCGGGCAGCCUAGAAAAUUCUGCAGGUUUGGGGCAGGGCUGAAAUAAUAAAUCCUGGGUUUUAAGCCAUUACGUUUCCCCGGGGAUUUCUUCACCCGAUCAGCCGCAGGGAGGGCCUUUUCGGACGCGAUGGCCAGGGCGGUUCGGGGAGCAGAAAGCUGCCUCCCGCAGUGCCACCCGGAGGGCGGCGUGGAGGAGGGCACGGCCUCUCGGCAGAGCGGGGAAGGCGCCGUGGCCGGUGCCCCCGGGCUCCCUCCCUCCCUCCCGGGCCCGGGGCGCGUGGGGUGGGGUGGGGUGGGGUGGGGCGGGGGACACACGACACACAUCGCGCGGUCCAAACCUUCGGAGGGCAUUCGGUGCGACGGCACCCCCACGCCGCGGCCGGCCGGAGGGGGUCUCAGACAACGCGUGUGCAGAUUCAGUGCAAGGACCGGUAAGGCUUCUGCCCGGAGCAGCACUGGGCCUGGCACCCGCCCUGGCCGCCUUCGGGUCGCUGCCGCCUCACGCCCAGGUGACCGCACGCUGUCUUCGCUCUCCCGCCGCCUGGGGGCGCCCACAGGGCGUGAGAGCCGCUGUCCUCCCCUAACGCCUGAGCGCCUCAAGUGCCCUGCACCUCACAUCCUAGACCCACGCCCCGCUCUGCCCGCGGAACAGCUAAACGGCCGCAGCACGGGCGCCGGAAGGCAGGCAGGCUAGCCAGCGCGCCCAGGCCAGCGCGGCCUCGUCGGAAAGGGACGCAAGCCAGGACUGGCUUCCCAGGGCGGUCAGUUCACGCUCCUGCCUCCUGCCUGCUCAUUUAUGUUCACUGCUAUGGUGGUGCUGGUGCAGUGAGGGUGCUGGCGCUGUGAGGGUGCUGGCGCUGUGAGGGCGCUGUGCGGGUGCUGGAGCUGUGAGGGUGCUGGAGCUGUGCGGGUGCUGUGAGGGUGCUGGUGCUGUGCGGGUGCUGUGAGGGUGCUGGAGCUGUGAGGGUGCUGGAGCUGUGCGGGUGCUGUGAGGGUGCUGUGAGGGUGCUGGCGCUGUGCAGGUGCUGGCGCUGUGAGGGUGCUGGUGCUGUGCGGGUGCUGGAGGGUGCUGGUGCUGUGCAGGUGCUGUGAGGGUGCUGGCGCUGUGCGGGUGCUGUGAGGGUGCUGGAGCUGUGAGGGUGCUGGCGCUGUGCGGGUGCUGGAGGGUGCUGGAGCUGUGCAGGUGCUGUGAGGGUGCUGGCGCUGUGCGGGUGCUGUGAGGGUGCUGGAGCUGUGAGGGUGCUGGCGCUGUGUGGGUGCUGGAGGGUGCUGGUGCUUGUGCGGGUGCUGUGAGGGUGCUGGCGCUGUGCGGGCGCUGUGAGGGUGCUGGAGCUGUGAGGGUGCUGGCGCUGUGCAGGUGCUGGAGGGUGCUGGUGCUGUGCAGGUGCUGUGCGGGUGCUGUGAGGGUGCUGGCGCUGUGCUGGCGCUGUGCGGGUGCUGUGAGGGUGCUGGCGCUGAACUGCUGACGAUGGUGAUGAUGAUGAUGAUGACGACACUGCUGCCACCGCUGCCGCGCCUCGCCCUCCCGCACGUCCCUGUCUCUCCUCGCUGACCUUGGACAGACCCCCGCUCCGUCCUUCCAGCCCACCGAUUCUACGGACACCCCCACCGCAGCCUCGGGGCCACCCUGGACCACGGUCGUAACAGCCCCACCCUGGCCCCCGGCAGGGUCCGCUUACGUGGUCAGCACCGCAGCCGCCCGGGCACCCCAACGUGGGGGGUCUCCAGCCUCGCUGGCCCGGAGGCUCUGCAGCAGUCCCCUCCCUGCCCCCACGUGGCCUGCCCCGCCCCUCAGCGGCUCCCCCCCAAGUCUCCCGGAGCCCCCACCCUCCGAUCUGAGCCAGGCCUUCAGCGCCUCCUUUGACGUCUUGCCACCACCCAUCCCACUCAAGCAGGUGCUCACAGCUGCCCCGUCUGUGUCUGCGCCCACCCCACCCCCGGCGGCAGGCUGCUCUCCAGGCCUGCCCCUCUGGCCCCCGCAGGCCACGUGCCUCACACCCACCGUCCGUACCCCUCCCCUGCAGCCUCUCCCUCCUCGUGGACUCCGCCCAUUUAUUCAUCCGUGACAAAUGUUUGUUGAGCACCUACUAUGCAGCCAGGGAGGAAGUAGAGCAGGAAACAGAACAGAUAAAGCUCCCGAGGGGUUGACAUCAUGCUGGAGGGAGAUGGACAAUUUAAAGGGACGCCACCCGCUUCUCUUGCACCUCUGCCGCCUUCUCGGCUGCUUUGGAAGUUACACUUCUUCAGAUGGUCCCGGAAAUGUCGUCUCAGUGUUUUCUCCCCACCCUCCAACUUAUUUUACCUGGAGUAUAAUACAUGCACAGAGAAGUGCACAAAACUUAAAGGCUCAGCUCAAGGGACUGUCACGGGCAAACAUUCGUGUACCUACCACCCAAGUCAGGAAAGAGGAUGUGACCAGCCCGCAGGGCCCCCCUCACUGUCCAUUCUCUCCACUGUGGGCCACCACCCAAAGGCAAGCCCAACUUUACUUCCAGCAUUGGAGUUUCGUGUCUGGAGACGUUCUACAAAGAGGAUCAUGAGACAUGAAUGGUUGCGUAUCUAGUUUCUUUUGCUCAUCAGUACACUUCUGAGAUUCACUUGUGUUUAUAUGUAUGUAGCUGUGAUUUAUUCAUUUUUCAUUGUUGUGUAAUAUUCCAUUGUAGAAAUAUACCACAAUUUAUCUCUUCUACUGUGGGACAUUUAGGUUUUCAGUUUAGCGGUUAUUACUAUGUCUCAGCACACACGUGAACACACUUCUGUUGGGUACCUACAUUCCUCGGGGAACGGACAGGCAAUCAGGUGUAUGUAGCGCCUACGUGUGUUUUACUUUGGUACCUGAUGUUAUGCAGCCACCAAAGAGGACAUGUAGGAGAGUCCCUCUUUCUGCGCCAGCUUCGUGUAGGUGACCUUACUGCUCGUGGCUGUAGCCGUGUGCUGUGUCCCCGCCGCGCAGCACACUUCUUCAUUCCCUCUCCUGGUGAUCGGGGCUCACCUCGGCAGCCGAUCACCAAGUCCCCUCUGUCCCUCAGACAGAGCUCUUAGACCCUCCCCUCCUCACGCCAGCCUCUCUGCCCUGCUGGGAUCCAGGCCUCCACCCUCCCUCGUGUGGGCUGCAAGCCGAGCCGGCCGUGUUCACUAGCCCGCGUAAGAUGUCCAAGGCCCCGGCAUCCACGUGCUAAAGCGUAAAUUCCAAGGCCUUCAGACUCUGGCCCAAAACGCAUCUCCAGCCAAUUCCCUGGGAGCCCUGUUUGCUCUUCCCUGAACUUUUGCAAGCUCCCAAGCAAGGAAGGCCCCUUGCUCCACCAGCAUCCGCCCAGAUGCCACCUUGAAUGACCGCAGCAGCCCCCGCUUAUCAGGUGGCCGUGGUGGUGGCCGGUCGCGUGGCCCCCACCUGUCUUGCUUCGUGUCUCCUUCGGCGCAUGUGGCGGAUUUGCGCUUCCCCAUCCCUUUGGAAGUCAGUGCAGUCGUGAGACUUGCUUUGGACAAUGAAAUGAGGGAAGCAUCUAGGAUCUCUGCCGAGUGGGAGCUUUCAGAGGCUGUGUGUAACUUGCCAGACUUUUUUUCUCCCGACUCGGGGUAAAGGAAGCACCCCUCGAGAUACCACCUCCGUCAGCCAAGGUUCCCAAGU